GUCGGACCACUUGCAGCCCUGCUUGUGGUGGAUGCAGAACACCAGGGAGCCCAUGAUGUGCUUCGGAUCGGGACCGGGAUAUAUCUGCAAAAAGGAGGGAAAGAAAACAGAUAAGAUCCUGGAUCCUGCUGAGCUCAGACAGUACUUGGUUUGGCCAUAAAGAUUUCCCCUUAACCGGAAACUGUAAACAAUCCUUGCAGGAUGCCGGCGACUAAACUGGCUUAUCACCUUGCCGCCAUCAUUGGAGUGCAGGGAAAUUACUUUCAAUUAUUGGACUGGCUAUCGAAAGGACCCGCUUGCAGUCAGUCCCAGGCAGAUGUUUUUGGGUAGGCCCAAAAGGCAAGUAAGCAAAACCUGUAUGGAAUGCAGCUCCAUCAAGCAUCGACCUGAUAUUCCCUGGGCUAACUGAGCUAACUGAGCGAACUGAGCGCGCCAAAUCGAGGACGACGCCUGUAACAACACGAAAAAGGACACCCGGGCGAGACUCAUAAAUAUAGGUAUUUUCCCUGGAACUGGACUGGGUACUGCUGGCAAUCGAACGCCGAA